rnacentral:lncRNA from 13 species
GUUCUUCCACCUUCGCACAGGCCUAGGUGCCAGGGAGAUGGAGCAAGGAACAGACCCUGGGGUGGUUAGCCCAAGAGGACUUUGCAGGGAGGAUGGUGCAUCUUUCUUUCUGAAUGUCUUUUUGGUGCAAGGGUAAACAGCAUUCUUUCCAGAAUGGUCCAGGUUAAUCCUGCCAAGAAAUAGCAGCCCAGAUGGAGGGACCUCUCAGGGUUUCUCCAUUAUCUGAGGAUUGGCUCCCACAGGAGGAGUCAGUUAGAAAUAACGAUUCUUUCCUUGCUCCUACAGACUUGACAGACAUCGUGAGCUGCCUGCUGGAAGGAACCCCACGCAGCAGGCACUGCUUCCCGACGGGAUCUGAAGGACCCUGAGCAUCCUCUCUACCCAAAAGAGACGCUUUGCACCUGCUCCCACCUUGCAUCCUCUGUGCUUUUACUCUCUCAGCCUCUCAUUUAAAAGCAUCCCCAAAGCUCCCCUUCCCCUCCCACCAUGAUUGGAAGCUUUCUGAGGCCCUAUGCAGAAGGAGAUGUGGCACCAUGCUUCUCUCUACAGCCCGCAGAACUGAAGAUGCCUUCAUACAAAGGUCUCAGGGAAAAGCAUCGACACGCCUAUUGGAGGGGCUCUUCAUGUCCAGGAUGGCAGCAGGACCCAACCGAAGAGCCCGGCCAGGCAUCAGGAGCACAGGUGCCUUCCACUAACUAGAGUGUGCUGCCUGCUCCACACAUAGACACAGGUGCGUCUGGUUUUCUGGGUCUCUGCCGUCUCUUGCUGUCUGUGAGGCCAUCAUAGGAUUCUCAGGGCAGCAUGGGGUUAGUUAGUAGUGUGAGUCAAGUUAAU